CCUACGGGUGGCAGCAGUCGAGAAUCAUUCACAAUGGGGGAAACCCUGAUGGUGCGACGCCGCGUGGGGGAAUGAAGGUCUUCGGAUUGUAAACCCCUGACAUGUGGGAGCAAAUUAAAAAGAUAGUACCACACGAGGAAGAGACGGCUAACUCUGUGCCAGCAGCCGCGGUAAUACAGAGGGCUCACGCGUUGUUCGGAAUCACGGGGCGUAAAGCGUGCGUAGGCUGUUUCGUAAGUCGUGUGUGAAAGGCGCGGGCUCAACCCGGGACCGGCACAUGAUACUGCGAGACUAGAGUAAUGGAGGGGGAACCGGAAUUCUCGGUGUAGCAGUGAAAUGCGUAGAUAUCGGGAAGAACACUCGUGGCGAAGGCGGGUUCCUGGACAUUAACUGACGCUGAGGCACGAAGGCCAGGGGAGCGAAAGGGAUUAGAUACCCGAGUAGUC
rnacentral:rRNA from 1 species